GACGAACCGUGCGAACGUUGUUCGGAAUCACUGGGCUUAAAGGGCGCGUAGGCGGGCUGCCAAGUCUGGGGUGAAAUCCCACGGCUCAACCGUGGAACUGCCUCGGAUACUGGCGGCCUCGAGGGAGGUAGGGGCGUGCGGAACUGUGGGUGGAGCGGUGAAAUGCGUUGAUAUCGCGAGGAACACCUGCGGCGAAGGCGGGUUGCUGGGCUGAUACUGACGCUGAUGCGCGAAAGCGUGGGGAGCAAACAGG
rnacentral:rRNA from 1 species